ACCUAAUCAUUCGAUUUUUUUCUUUUUUUGUCACCACGGUUAAAUGGUUAACAAAAGAUGAUGUGACAACUAUUAAAAUUAGCAUAAUAAUAAAUUUAGAAACCAACUGUACAGGCCAAUUUUGGGCCACCCCAAAACCCAACAACUAAACCCAAAACCCAACUAACCUAGCCCAAUACCCUAAACCAACCUAGCCCAAUCCUAAAACUACCUGAGCCCAAUUUACAAACCCUAACAACCCAAGCCCACUAUCUAAAAUUUUCAGCAGCAAACCCUAGCCACCAAAGUCUUCAGCCGCUCUCCCCUCUUCAGCCUCCUCUACUCCUCUGACACCAGCACCAUCCCUGGUCACCCCAUACCUAGCCAUCGCCCAUGCUUCUGCCAACACCAUCACACACUCCCACCAACCCCUCCAUACCCUGCAAAGACAGAAGCAGACCAAACAGAAUGGGACAAAAGAUAAAUAAUAUUUUCCUAGUUUUAUAGUCGGCUAUAAAGCUGAGAAAUAAACAUUUGUAAAGGGGGGAUUCAAUAUACAAAAAUUGUAUCACGAAUUUUGGCAAAUCAAAAGCAAAAAAAAAGCACAUAAAAAAGGUUGAAUUUUAUUUCCUUUUUUUGUUUCUUUAUUUUUUAUUUUCCUUUUUUUGUUCAAAAAAUCAGUUUUAAAACAAAAAAAAUAAAAAUAAAAGUAGAAAGGGGACUUACCUGAACUUCGGAGCCGCGACAUCGGAGCCCUACUCCGUCGUUGAAAUCGGCUCUCAAAAAGGAAAAUGGGGGUCUCUCCCUUCAGAUUUUCGGGCUAAGAAAAUAGGGCCUUCAGGCGCCCCCAAAAUCGGGGUCAAAAGCCCCCAUUCAAGCAACCCCGACCACCACUUACGGUGGCUCCAUGGUGGCGACAAUGAUGGGUAUAAACCCUAGCAAAAGGGGAAAUGAGGGAGAGAGAGCCAAGAAACUCUCUAUUUUUUUUGCUUUUCAAAAUGGGGGCUGGAAACACAAAAUAAAAAAAAAGGGUUUUAAG
rnacentral:lncRNA from 1 species